rnacentral:rRNA from 1 species
GGGGAAUAUUGCACAAUGGGCGCAAGCCUGAUGCAGCGACGCCGCGUGGGGGAUGAAGGCCUUCGGGUUGUAAACUCCUUUCGCUAGGGACGAAGCUUUGUGUGACGGUACCUAGAUAAGAAGCACCGGCUAACUACGUGCCAGCAGCCGCGGUAAUACGUAGGGUGCGAGCGUUGUCCGGAAUUACUGGGCGUAAAGGGCACGUAGGUGGUUUGUCGCGUCGUCUGUGAAAUUCUGGGGCUUAACUCCGGGCGUGCAGGCGAUACGGGCAUAACUUGAGUGCUGUAGGGGUAACUGGAAUUCCUGGUGUAGCGGUGAAAUGCGCAGAUAUCAGGAGGAACACCGAUGGCGAAGGCAGGUUACUGGGCAGUUACUGACGCUGAGGAGCGAAAGCAUGGGUAGCGAACAGGAUUAGAUACCCUGGUAGUCCAUGCCGUAAACGGUGGGCGCUAGGUGUGAGGGUCUUUCUACGACUUUCGUGCCGUAGCUAACGCAUUAAGCGCCCCGCCUGGGGAGUACGGCCGCAGGGCUA